rnacentral:lncRNA from 1 species
CACCACUCCCAACCUUAAAUUUUUAACCUGCUUAUUACAUGCAUAUUUUCCUUUAUAUCUUUGAAUAUUGGUUAUAAUAAUUUCUUUAAAAUCCUUGUCUGGUAAUUCCAACAUCUGGGUCAUCUUACUGUUAGUGUUUCUUGAUUGCAACUCAGUACUUGGUUGUGAAAUAAAAUUAAAGGGUUGUGGUCAGCAUUACAAGAGAAAAUGGAUGAAAAAUAGAAGUGUGAAAAGUGAAGAUGUUAUUUUAUGGAAAAUCACAUUGCUCAUAUAUACCACAUUUUCUUUAUCCACUCAUCUGUUGAUGAACAUUAAGGUGGUUUGGUUGUUGGCUGUUGUGACUAGUGCUGUAAUGAACAUAAGAGUGCUAAUAUGUCUUUCAGAUUCUGAUCUCAUUUUUUUGCGCAAGCCACCAUGGUGGCUAAUUUUCGUGUUCUUUUUGGACAAGAACUCAGCAAGGUUAGUUUGAUAAAGCUCAGCUGGUUGGAAAUUUGAGGAAUUUGAAGUUGAUUUGUUUUGAUCCUUGUUCUCUCUUGAACUGACAUCAUCGAAUUUGAGUCCAAAAUAGUGAGACCCCUUCUCUAAAACAAAACAAAAC